AAGUAAAAAGAGAAGUUAUGUAGGACAAGUUAUGAGAUUGGUAAUGUUAUGUUGCUAUAUGGGAGUGAACACCUACCAAAAAAUGGUUGUCGUAGUAAUGCGAACGUUUGCAUGAAUAUAUGUACAUAUAAUAUCAGAAAACUUGUAAAUGACGAUACCAGAUAGAGAGUGCAAGUAGCAUAUAUAGAGUUUAAAAUAAGAGAAGGAUCAUGGUUUGAGCACGUCAUAUGUAGACUUUUGAACAUACCAAUCUAUAUGAGCAACUAUAUGAUGAUUGAUGGAGUAAAAGGGGAUGAGGUAGAUCCAAUGUCACGUAGAGGAAGUUAUCUCAAAUAACUGCAACUUUUCAAAAUCAUUGUAGAUUUAGCCAAAAAGAUAGCACAAUGAAAGAAAAGGAUCCAUGUAGGCAAUACCAACUAAUUGACACAAAGCUAUAGUUGUUUUAGUUUGUUACACUUACACUAAGUAUGGUGUUUGUCAAGAUCCUUUUUAGUUUGGUAACAAACUAGUAUGCUUAUGCAAGAAUAAGUUUGAGAUUUAUAGAACACAUAGUUUGAAUGACAGAUUAUUUAAUAAUGGAAUAGAUUGGCCUGAUUGGAGCAGAGUAGAUGUAUAGAAUUUAUAUAGGCAACUCCAAAUAGUAUUAAUUGAAUUUUCCUAGAAUAAAUAUCUGUUUAUGGAGAAAAGUCUUUUGACUGGAGUAACAUGCCUACAUCUUUUCUUCUCAGAAAUGUUCCGUUGAAACCCUGUUUAUUUUAAUCCCUUUUAAGGCUGAAUGCUAAAUCAAUGGUACUCAAGCUUUUUUUUAGCUAUAUUCAGGUUGCUCAGUGUGAAUUCUUAAUCUAUAUUGAGCUUGUUUUGAUGUUGAAUUCUUAACCCUUUUCUAAAAGUUUAGUAACUGUAUUAACUUAAAUGUUACAGGUGCGUUUUGGGGCAAAGUAAGAGAAGCUGCUGAGAAAAAGGUUGGUCAGGUUAUCAUCUUUGCUAUAUAAUAUUAUCGUUGGUGAUCAUGCACAAUCUUCCUAAUGCUUGUUAUUAGAUGGUGACAUAGCACCAGAAGAGAGGAGAAAACCGAAAAGAAUUGAAUGAAAGAUCAAUUCAUAAAUUAUUAUUUAGUAAGUGUUUUCCAAAUUUUCUCAACGAAAUACUACAAGAUUUAUAUAUAAAGUAGGAUUUUGAACUGUCAGAACCUUGAACGUUGAACUCUAUAUGUAACUAAAAGAAUAAGGCCAUUUCAAACUAAUAUAUAAUCUACUCAAUGUAUUGUUCAAAUGAUUAGCAUGGAGAGGGGAUGCUGAUUCUGCAGUACGAGCUUCUAAGCUUACUCAAAGUGUCCUAGUACCGUAGUGGUAAACUGCUUAUCGGCCUAUUCCCAUUGCAAGUCAGCUAAACAUAAUAUUUUCACGUUCAGCAAAUGUUCCUUGCUCGACACUCUGAGGGCUGGUGGUUACUUGAUUUAGUCUGACUAUGAUAAGAACCUAGUGUGAUGGAGUCAGCAAUGAUAAUAUCCUUGUUUAUUUGUGAAGGCUAUGGAUUUUAUUUCUGCAUAUCAUCUGGCUGGAACUCAGCUUAUUUUAUUGAAGACCUAAUA
rnacentral:lncRNA from 1 species